UGGAUAUUUUAGGUUUUUUUAUAGGCUCCAAAGUUCUAACUGCUUUUUCACUCUGUGCUUUGUGGCACUGCUGGGAGAUGUUCCUGCCAAAGCUGCCAAGGGUCUGAUGGAAGGGGGCCUGGCCCGGGAAGGCUCCCCGAAGUUGCUCUGAGCGAUCCUGGAUGCUGCAUGGCUUCAGUCCCUGAGGCCUCCCUGGCCACUAAGAGGAAACAAACCACUGCCAGAAAAAGGCUUGAAUGGCAAUCAGGACUGGCAGAAGCUGGACUGUCAUUGUGAACCGAGGAAGGAGUCUACAAAAGGAAAUGGGAAGAAAGUGGAUAUGCUGAUAGCCAGGCUGGUGCUCUUCCAGGUAAGUCUACCUGCCCUGGCUCCAGGCGGCCCUCCGGGGGUUGGCUGGUCCUUCAGGCUGCCAGGGUACAGCAGAAGGGUACAGCAGAAGUAAUGAAUAGGGUGGAAUAGCAAGCACUGGGCAGAUUAUGCCUUUUACUCAGUGUUAAAACAGUGGAAAAAGCUGGACUGUAGAUCCAGCAAAGCCCAGCUUUAGUCUCUUUUCUGCCCCCUUAUGAACAGAGUAUAACUAGACUCUUAAACUCUUAUAGCCUCAGUUCCUCAUCUGCAAAAUGAGGAUCAUUUUGAUAAGAAACAAAUUCAAAUGUGAUUGUUUCUGGAAAUCUCAAGCACAGUACCUGUGCUCAAUAAAUGGUCAUUGCAACUGAUUCUAAAUCAACUUCUCUAGACUAGUAUUUCAUACUGCCAGGAAACAAGCAAAGACAAAUGAUUCAGAAAACUAAAGUAUUGGAGUUGAUUGUGUUUUUAUAUUAAAAAAAAAAUACCUCUCAAUCAAGACAAAACAAUCUCCACAAAGCAGUCUGAAAAACUUGCCAUGGAAGCAAGGAUUUGGGGGAAGGACAAGAAAAGAGACUUCUGUAGGAUUAUACUAGAAGAAUCAGAGCCUCAAAUUGCUUAGAAUCUCUAAAAUUUGUGCUGCAGCUUGUUGUAUAGAAAUUCUAACAACUAGGAUGCAGUAUAUGUUUCCAGAUGGCAUACACUAAUAGAAUUAUGUGUGUGUGGGGGUGCUUCUGGAAGUGUGUCUCUUCAUCAGCCACUGAUCUAUAAUCAAUCUAUCCCUCCUCUGUCUUAACUUUUCUUGUAUAUGUACCCAUCUGUGGUUUCAUGUAACAAUGUCUUAUGAGUAGGUGGGGGUAGGGGUGUGGUGGAGAGGCCAGGAGCUCAGACCCUGAAGGAAAACAUUCCUGAUUCAAUCCUUGG
rnacentral:lncRNA from 1 species